rnacentral:rRNA from 1 species
UGGGGAAUUUUGGACAAUGGGGGAAACCCUGAUCCAGCCAUCCCGCGUGUGCGGUGAAGGCCUUCGGGUUGUAAAGCACUUUUGGCAGGAAAGAAACGUCGCGGGUUAAUACCCCGCGAAACUGACGGUACCUGCAGAAUAAGCACCGGCUAACUACGUGCCAGCAGCCGCGGUAAUACGUAGGGUGCAAGCGUUAAUCGGAAUUACCGGGCGUAAAGCGUGCGCAGGCGGUUCGGAAAGAAAGAUGUGAAAUCCCAGAGCUUAACUUUGGAACUGCAUUUUUAACUACCGGGCUAGAGUGUGUCAGAGGGAGGUGGAAUUCCGCGUGUAGCAGUGAAAUGCGUAGAUAUGCGGAGGAACACCGAUGGCGAAGGCAGCCUCCUGGGAUAACACUGACGCUCAUGCACGAAAGCGUGGGGAGCAAACAGGAUUAGAUACCCUGGUAGUCCACGCCCUAAACGAUGUCAACUAGCUGUUGGGGGCCUUCGGGCCUUGGUAGCGCAGCUAACGCGUGAAGUUGACCGCCUGGGGGAGUACGGUCGCAAGAUUAAAACUCAAAUGAAUUGACGGGGGUCAUAGCUGUUUU